rnacentral:rRNA from 1 species
ACUCCUACGGGAGGCAGCAGUGGGGAAUAUUGCACAAUGGGGGAAACCCUGAUGCAGCCAUGCCGCGUGUGUGAAGAAGGCCUUCGGGUUGUAAAGCACUUUCAGUAGGGAGGAAGGUAGUGUAGUUAACACCUGCAUUAUUUGUACGUUACCUACAGAAGAAGCACCGGCUAACUCCGUGCCAGCAGCCGCGGUAAUACGGAGGGUGCGAGCGUUAAUCGGAAUUACGUGGGCGUAAAGCGCAUGCAGGCGGCCUGUUAAGUCAGAUGUGGAAACGCCCGGGGUCGUUAAACCUCGGAAUUGCAUUUGAAACUGGCAGGCUAGAGUCUUGGUAGAGGGGUUAGAAUUUCAGGUGUAGCGUGAAAUGCGUAGAGAUCUGAAGGAUACCA